GAUAACAUAAAAAUUUAGAGAUGGAAAAAAUAAAAUAAUAUUUUAUUUAUUUUUUAUUUACUUUUUGUAAUUGACUUUGAUUUUAGGGUUAAUCGUGUACAUAUCCCUAUAAAUAUAUUGAAUUGCAAAUAUAUAUAUCUCUAUAAAAUUCAGCUUUCAUAUGUUGUCCCUGCAAAAAUUCUAGUAUUUUCAAAUAUAUCCCUACCGUUAGGAUCCGUUUUUAUCGCUCUUCAAUUAACGUGGGACUUUUAGAAUGAUAUAUUUGUGAUGGUAAAAAUGUCAUUUCACUUAUAAAAUAAGCAGUGCUUUAAACAGUAAGAAAUCAGAGAAAUAUAUUUAAAAACAUUAUAACUUUUAUAGGAAUAAUAUAAAAAAGUUGAACUCUAUAAAAAUAUAUUUAUAAUUUACUAUAUUUGUAGGAAUCUGUAUAAAAUUGACUCUCAAUUUCAAGGGAAUUGUAACUCAAUUACACUAUUUCAAAAAAUUUGAAGCUUGAGUUUUUAACCGCAGACGAAAAAUA
rnacentral:lncRNA from 1 species